GGAAACUGGGGCUAAUACCGGAUAGGAGCUCCUGCUGCAGUGGUGGGGGUUGGAAAGUUUCGGCGGUUGGGGAUGGACUCGCGGCUUAUCAGCUUGUUGGUGGGGUAGUGGCUUACCAAGGCUUUGACGGGUAGCCGGCCUGAGAGGGUGACCGGCCACAUUGGAACUGAGAUACGGCCCAG
rnacentral:rRNA from 1 species